rnacentral:rRNA from 1 species
UACGGAGGGUGCGAGCGUUGUCCGGAAUUAUUGGGCGUAAAGGGCUCGUAGGCGGUUUGUCGCGUCGGGAGUGAAAACCAGGUGCUUAACACCUGGCUUGCUUUCGAUACGGGCAGACUAGAGGUAUUCAGGGGAGAACGGAAUUCCUGGUGUAGCGGUGAAAUGCGCAGAUAUCAGGAAGAACACCGAUGGCGGAGGCAGUUCUCUGGGCCGUAACUGACGCUGAGGAGCGAAAGCGUGGGGAGCGAACAGG